CGCCGUGCGGGCGCGCGCCACAGUGCGCGUGCGUGGUGGGCGCGCCCCCGCGGCUCCCCGGGCACGCGCGCGCUCCUGUGUGAGUGUGAGUGUGUGCGGCGCGUGUGCCCGCGUGUGCGCGCCCCUGAGCGCGCGCUGUGCCUCGGCGCCGCCUGCGUGCGGGGGGUGCCCGUGCGCGCUCCGCACCGAGCUCCCCGCCGCUGCCAUCCUCGCCUCCGCCGCCCCGGCGCCUCCGCGCAGCGCCCGCGCAGCGGGUCGGCGUCUUCAUGGGCUGCCACCAUGCUUGGGCCCUGGAGAUUUCGGACGAAGCUAGUUUUGCAGAACAUUGGGAAUAAGCGCUAUGUCAGAUAUGGAUGAGACUCCGAAGAUGACCUGCAUGUUUUACAUUUUUCACAAAUUUUGGGUGAGUGGUUAAAACAUUUCUUUUGAGAGUAUAUAUGUGUGUGUGUGAGAGAGAGAGAGAACGGGAGACUUCUGCUUGAAAUGAGCUCUGUUACAUUGUGUAUAACUUGGGAGGGAAUCAAAUAUCAAUUAAUAUUAUUUGCUUUUGUAAAGAUGAAAGAUUUCCAUAAUUGAAGAGAGCUGUUAAGUGCACUGAAGUAGGAGGUUAAUGUAUUUCAUCUCAUUACAGAAGAAUUCCUGCACAAAAGUCAUCUGGGGGUGCGCGCAUGUGUGCAUGUGUGUGUGUGCGCGCGUGUGUGCAUGUCUGUGUGGGUGGGUGUGUGCUUUGUAAAUGUAUAGCUAGGAAAAAAUCCACCAACAUAAAAGAGUUUUAAGAAAUGUGUGAUGUGGAGAAUGUGUCAGUAUUCCCUCUGUUGAAUUAAGAUGCCAUUUUCAGCACUGAGCAUUUUUCUUUGGAUUCCUACCAUGGUAUUUCCACCACCAGUUAAAAAUCAAGGUAAAAGGAGGGGAAGACCUUGGUGCACUGGUUUAGCAGGAAGGUUCUGAAGGGAAGAGAGAGCUGGGUAAUAGGGGAGGUGGGAAACCUCAUAAAAUGGUGUUUCUCUUCUCUUAAAUUAGAAACGUGAAACUGAACUGACAGCCAUUUUAUGUAUAUUUAUGGGGCUGGUUGUGAAAAGGAAAUCCAAAGGAGCAUUGAAAUUCACCCCACACAAACAGAACCAGAACAAUUCCUACUGUGACCUCACCUUUUUAGACACCGCAGGCAUUUGACUCACAAGGAGUUGCCUAUCAACCCUUUAAUCAAGGCAUGUCAUCCAGUUUCCAAAAGAGUGGGAAUUAGAAGUGACAGGAGGGGCUAUUUUUUGGUUGGUGAACAGUCCAUUCUCUACCCUACUGAAGACACAGAUAAACU
rnacentral:lncRNA from 1 species